rnacentral:rRNA from 1 species
UACGUAGGUGGCAAGCGUUAUCCGGAUUUAUUGGGCGUAAAGGGAACGCAGGCGGUCUUUUAAGUCUGAUGUGAAAGCCUUCGGCUUAACCGGAGUAGUGCAUUGGAAACUGGGAGACUUGAGUGCAGAAGAGGAGAGUGGAACUCCAUGUGUAGCGGUGAAAUGCGUAGAUAUAUGGAAGAACACCAGUGGCGAAAGCGGCUCUCUGGUCUGUAACUGACGCUGAGGCACGAAAGCGUGGGGAGCAAAUAGG